GUUCUCACCUCGGCAGCACGCAUGCUAAAUUGAGAACGACACAGAGAGGAUUAGCACGGUCCCUGGGCCCAGAUGACAUGCAAAUGAAUGACAAAUCCCGUGAGGCU
ensembl:snRNA U6 U6 spliceosomal RNA